UACGAAGGGGGCUAGCGUUGCUCGGAAUCACUGGGCGUAAAGCGCACGUAGGCGGACUCUUAAGUCGGUGGUGAAAUCCUGGAGCUCAACUCCAGAACUGCCUUCGAUACUGAGAGUCUCGAGUCCGGGAGAGGUGAGUGGAACUGCGAGUGUAGAGGUGAAAUUCGUUGAUAUUCGGAAGAACACCAGUGGCGAAGGCGGCCAACUGGUCCACUACUGACGCUGAGGUGCGAAAGCGUGGGGAGCAAACAGG
rnacentral:rRNA from 1 species